ACGGGUUAAGGUUUUAAACAGUGGAGAGGAGGGCCUCAAAUUCAACAGCGGUGCAGGAGACAGAAGGAAGCACAGCUGAGAAAGCUACCUUUCCUAUGGAGACCUGGUAAUGCGGCUGUGAGAUUUUCAGAUGAAAGAUGCUGCCAAUGGGAACAAUGAUAAGGUACAAUGGAAACUGCCUAUUCAAUAGGGAAGAAUGCCAAUGAGCUCAGAAGAAUCCAUCAAACUUUAUUAUCCAAAAUCAAUAUGCUGCCACUCCAAAUCAAUAAGAGGCUGGGCAGACAGAGCAGAAGCUGCAGUACCUCUCUAUUAAAUGAGAUUUUUCUCCAUUAGAAACUGGAAGCUUCUCAAUGGACAAUUAACUCAAGAAUCUCUCCUUCAUUAAAUUUUAUGACUUGUAACAUUUUUUAAAUUGGUCAAACAAAAAGCUUUCAUUACAAGGAGAAUACAUUAAUUUAUUUGGCUCUAUAUCACACCAUGUAAAAAGUAAAAGCAUCUCUAAUGCUUAAUUCAGAGAACAAUAAAUUAAUCUGGACAUUA